UCUCCCUGGGAAACGGGUGGUAAUGCCGGAUGCUCCGACUCCUCGCAUGGGGUGUCGGGAAAGAUUUCAUCGGUAUGGGAUGGGGUCGCGUCCUAUCAGGUAGUCGGCGGGGUAACGGCCCACCGAGCCUACGACGGGUAGCCGGCCUGAGAGGGCGACCGGCCACAUUGGGACUGAGAUACGGCCCAGACUCCUACGGGAGGCAGCAGUGGGGAAUAUUGCACAAUGGGCGCAAGCCUGAUGCAGCGACGCCGCGUGCGGGAUGACGGCCUUCGGGUUGUAAACCGCUUUUGAUCGGGAGCAAGCCUUCGGGUGAGUGUACCUUUCGAAUAAGCACCGGCUAACUACGUGCCAGCAGCCGCGGUAAUACGUAGGGUGCAAGCGUUAUCCGGAAUUAUUGGGCGUAAAGGGCUCGUAGGCGGUUCGUCGCGUCCGGUGUGAAAGUCCAUCGCUUAACGGUGGAUCUGCGCCGGGUACGGGCGGGCUGGAGUGCGGUAGGGGAGACUGGAAUUCCCGGUGUAACGGUGGAAUGUGUAGAUA
rnacentral:rRNA from 1 species